rnacentral:lncRNA from 1 species
AGUGACGUCACCGGUGUAGGUGUUGGGAGCUCCGUGCAGUUGCAGCUUGUAUCCAAUGGCUGUUGCCUAGGAGAUAGGACCGCCCUCUGCCAUCAAGACAGGGAACGUGGAUUUGCUCAUGCUCAGUUGAGUCCUUGUUUAUGUGCAGCUUGCCUAUGAAAAUACAGCUGGCUAACAAGAUUGGUGAUAGAAGCAUGCUCCAUCUACAGAUAUGGCUGUUGGAAGCAAAUGGCUCUAGACUGUGGUUCUCAACCUGGGGGGGGAGAUCCACCUUUUCAUAGGGGGUCACCUAAGACGAUCUUCAAAUCAGUAAACCAGACAACAUGAACCACUCCAUGGCUUUUGCUCAGUGUAAAGUCCCAUGACACGGCCCAUGGAACCACAUCAGAGUCUUUCUACUAUUUGGCAGUGAUCUAUGAUGGGACAGAAUGCCAGGUCCUGCGCAUGCUUAGGAAGUUUUCUACCCCUGAGUGACACCAUUAAUUUUUCUUUUAAAUCCUACAUCCUGAAGAAGAAUACAAGAAAAUGAGACCCUUGUUGCUGUAGUUUUCAAAAGACUGACAUGGUUAAUCUUGGAGAGAGAAGACCAAAGAGCCAGGUCUUGAACAAUCGGAGCUGCUCAGACUGCUGUUGCAGCUGCUGGAGAGAUAAGCACUUUGCAAGUGUGCUUCACCACUUCAUUUCCUUAUUUUAUGAAGGAGGCUUCUGCUUGUGUUUGACCUUGGGAU